rnacentral:tRNA from 1 species
GGAGGGGUGGCCGAGUGGUUGAAGGCGGUAGAUUCGAAAUCUACUGUACGUGUUCACGUACCGGGGGUUCGAAUCCCCCCCUCUCCG